rnacentral:rRNA from 1 species
AAUAGAUACCCUGGUAGUCCACGCCGUAAACGAUGAGUGCUAAGUGUUAGAGGGUUUCCGCCCUUUAGUGCUGCAGCUAACGCAUUAAGCACUCCGCCUGGGGAGUACGGCCGCAAGGCUGAAACUCAAAGGAAUUGACGGGGGCCCGCACAAGCGGUGGAGCAUGUGGUUUAAUUCGAAGCAACGCGAAGAACCUUACCAGGUCUUGACAUCCUCUGCUAACCCUAGAGAUAGGGCGUUCCCCUUCGGGGGACAGAGUGACAGGUGGUGCAUGGUUGUCGUCAGCUCGUGUCGUGAGAUGUUGGGUUAAGUCCCGCAACGAGCGCAACCCUUGAUCUUAGUUGCCAGCAUUCAGUUGGGCACUCUAAGGUGACUGCCGGUGACAAACCGGAGGAAGGUGGGGAUGACGUCAAAUCAUCAUGCCCCUUAUGACCUGGGCUACACACGUGCUACAAUGGAUGGUACAAAGAGCUGCGAACCCGCGAGGGUAAGCCAAUCUCAUAAAGCCAUUCUCAGUUCGGAUUGUAGG